rnacentral:rRNA from 1 species
UUCCGGUUGAUCCUGCCGGACCUUACUGCUAUCGGGGUGAGACUAAGCCAUGCAAGUUGCGCGCUUCUAAGCUAUGGUAGAGGAGCAGCGUAAGGCUCAGUAAAACAUGGUUAACUUGCCCUCGAGACGGGAAUACCCCCGGGAAACUGGGGAUAAAUCCCGAUAGGCGAGAUGGCUUGGAAUGAUAUCUCGUCUAAAAAACGUUAAGACCAUGCCUCUUUUCGUUGCUCGAGGAUAGGACCAUGUCCGAUCAGGCUGUUGGCGAGGUAACGGCUCACCAAACCUAUAACCGGUACGGGCCGUGAGAGCGGGAGCCCGGAGAUGGAUCCUGAGACAAGGAUCCAGGUCCUACGGGGCGCAGCAGGCGCGAAAACUCCGCAAUGCGCGAAAGCGUGACGGGGUCACCCCGAGUGUCACCUGCUGAAGGUAACUUUUCCUCAGUCUAACCAGCUGAAGGUAAUAAGGGGAGGGCAAGUCUGGUGUCAGCCGCCGCGGUAAUACCAGCUCCCCGAGUGGUAAGGACGAUUAUUGGGCCUAAAGCGUCCGUAGCUGGCUUGAUAAGUUUCCCGUUAAAUCCGACGAUCCAAUCGUCGGGCUGCGGGAAAUACUGUUAAGCUAGGAGGCGGGAGAGGCCGGCGGUACUUUUGGGGUAGGGGUGAAAUCCUAUAAUCCCAAGAGGACCACCAGUGGCGAAGGCGACCGGGCCAGAACGCACUCGACGGUGAGGGACGAAAGCUGGGGGAGCAAACCGGAUUAGAUACCCGGGUAGUCCCAGCUGUAAACGAUGCGGGCUAAGUGUCGGGAUGGCCAUAGAGCCAUCUCGGUGCUGCAGGGAAGCCGUUAAGCCCGCCGCCUGGGGAGUACGGCCGCAAGGUUGAACUUAAAGGAAUUGGCCGGGGGAGCACAACAAGGCGUGAAGCUUGCGUUCAAUUGGAGUCUACGCCGG